rnacentral:rRNA from 1 species
UACAGAGGGUGCAAACGUUGUUCGGAAUCACUGGGCAUAAAGCGCACGUAGGCUGUCUCGUAAGUGUGGAGUGAAAUCCCACGGCUCAACCGUGGAACUGCUUGGCAUACUGCGAGACUCGAGGACGGUAGGGGGAGAGCGGAACUCCUGGUGGAGCGGUGAAAAUGCGUAGAUAUCAGGAGGAACACCGGUGGCGAAGGCGGCUCUCUGGUCCGUUUUUCUGACG